AGGGAGAGCACGAACCCACCAUGGGGGAACAAACAACUCCAGACGUGCUGCCUUAAGAGCUGUAACACUCGCCGUAAAGGUUUGCAGGUUCACUCCUGAGCCAGCGAGACCAUGAACCCCCCAGAAGGAAGAAACUCGGAGCACAUCCGAACAUCAGAAGGAGCAAACGCCAGACACGCUGCGUUUAAGAACAGCAACACUCACCACGAGAGUCUGCGGCUUCAUUCUUGAAGCUGGAAUCAAUGUUUACAUUAAUUUUUUGGCUUAAUAACUCCUGCACCUGUGAGCAAUGAAAAUUUGCACUGCCUGUUGGUACAUGGUUUAUAGGCUUGGGAUUUGGAUUUUUUUUUUAACUGUAGACUUUUAUCUUUCUAUUCAGACCCCAUAAUAGAGAUAAACGUUCUGUGCCUUACCAUUUACUUUUCUCAGCCUGUGGCAAGAAGUUUGAAGUUUGUUGGGACACCUUUUCAUCAAGGAGGGGAUGAUUUCACUCUUGAUCUGGAAAAGGAAGAAAAGCCUUUAAGUGAUUUUCCUCAGAGGACUUGGCAGAAUCUAGUGCUGGUCCUGGAGCUAAGUCUUGAGAAGACCUGGAGGCUUCCACUUCUGCGCUUUUGGAAAUUCUGAGCUUCCGUGUUAGAAGAGUUGCUACCCUUCUGGAGAUACUACAUGGAAAGACCUCAUGAAGAGGCCAUAUGGAAAGGGAGAAGCCUUGUCCAACUUGGACAGUCUGGUCCUGUUGAGCCCCCAGAUGCCCACAGUCUCAGUUGACAACAUGUGGAGCAGAAGAACUGCCCAGAUGAGCCCAGCCAACCCAGUGAAUCAUGAGAAUAAGGAAAUGGUUUUUGCUUAAAGCUUUUGCUUUGAAGUGGUUCCUUAUGCAGCAGUAGAUAUCUGAAACAGGGGGCAUUGAUUAGGGACAUCAAGGCCCUAGGGGAUGGCAGAACUCCCAGAUGGAAGAAAGCUGGAUGUCUGAGUCAUGGCAAGGAGAGCCAUUCACCAACUAGGAAACCACGUAGAAAUAUUCCACAGGAGAAAUAAACUUUUGUUGUAGAGUUCCAGCCUGAGACCAUCACUGAGGGUGCUACUAAGAGGAUAUCAGUCCUGCGUGAGCAAGAAGUGAUCAGAAUUGUGGAUCUGUCCUGCAAGCACAACGUCUCCCAGCCCAUAAGGAAGGAAGGGGCAUUUGUCUUGCCCUUGCAGCUGAAUCUGCUUUCCCGGGAUC
rnacentral:lncRNA from 10 species